CUCAGUUCAGAUCGUAGGCUGCAACUCGCCUACGUGAAGGAGGAAUCGCUAGUAAUCGCAGGUCAGCAUACUGCGGUGAAUACGUUCCCGGGCCUUGUACACACCGCCCGUCACACCAUGGAAGUUGGCCACGCCCGAAGUCGUUACUCCAACCCUCUGGGAGGAGGACGCCGAAGGUGGGGCUGAUGACUGGGGUGAAGUCGUAACAAGGUAGCCGUACCGGAAGGUGCGGCUGGAUCACCUCCUAA
rnacentral:rRNA from 1 species